rnacentral:rRNA from 1 species
GACGGGUUAGUAACGCGUGGGAACGUACCCAGAUCUAAGGAAUAGCCACUGGAAACGGUGAGUAAUACCUUAUACGCCCUUCGGGGGAAAGAUUUAUCGGAUUUGGAUCGGCCCGCGUUAGAUUAGGUAGUUGGUGGGGUAAUGGCCUACCAAGCCUACGAUCUAUAGCUGGUUUUAGAGGAUGAUCAGCAACACUGGGACUGAGACACGGCCCAGUCUCCUACGGGAGGCAGCAGUGGGGAAUCUUAGACAAUGGGCGCAAGCCUGAUCUAGCCAUGCCGCGUGAGUGAUGAAGGCCUUAGGGUCGUAAAGCUCUUUCGCCUGUGAUGAUAAUGACAGUAGCAGGUAAAGAAACCCCGGCUAACUCCGUGCCAGCAGCUGCGGUAAUACGGAGGGGGUUAGCGUUGUUCGGAAUUACUGGGCGUAAAGCGCACGUAGGCGGAUUAGAAAGUUAGGGGUGAAAUCCCGGGGCUCAACCUCGGAACUGCCUCUAAAACUCCUAGUCUAGAGUUCGAGAGAGGUGAGUGGAAUUCCAAGUGUAGAGGUGAAAUUCGUAGAUAUUUGGAGGAACACCAGUGGCGAAGGCGGCUCACUGGCUCGAUACUGACGCUGAGGUGCGAAAGUGUGGGGAGCAAACAGGAUUAGAUACCCUGGUAG